rnacentral:rRNA from 1 species
UACAGAGGUCCCGAGCGUUGUUCGGAUUCACUGGGCGUAAAGGGUGCGUAGGUGGUGAGGUAAGUCGGAUGUGAAAUCUCCAGGCUCAACCUGGAAACUGCAUUGGAAACUACCUUGCUGGAGGAUUUGAGGGGGGAUUGGAAUACUUGGUGCAGCAGUGAAAUGCGUAGAUAUCAAGUGGAACACCAGUGGCGAAGGCGAAUCCCUGGAAAAUACCUGACACUGAGGCACGAAAGCUAGGGGAGCAAACAGG